rnacentral:rRNA from 1 species
UACGGAGGAGGCAAGCGUUAUCCGGAAUUAUUGGGCGUAAAGAGCUCGUAGGCGGUCUGUCGCGUCGGUCGUGAAAACUUGGGGCUUAACCCUGAGCUUGCGGUCGAUACGGGCAUGACUGGAGUUCGGCAGGGGAGACUGGAAUUCCUGGUGUAGCGGUGAAAUGCGCAGAUAUCAGGAGGAACACCGGUGGCGAAGGCGGGUCUCUGGGCCGAUACUGACGCUGAGGAGCGAAAGCGUGGGGAGCGAACAGG